ACCUUCACACUAAUUCCCUAACCCCCAACACACCUCUAUUUCCCUUUCUCCAUUGAAGGAGACCUUGAACCUCCCACAGCUGAAUGAUGCUCAAAUUAUCCUAGCUUCCUGAAAGCUUAGGCGCUGAGCUUUUGGAGACUUUGGUAAAGAUGCUAUUUUGUUUGCUUUAACAGGUAACCCGGAAAGCUUAGGUGCAAUUGAGACAUCUCGGAACUUGGUUCUGCAUAAAUUUUUCUCAAGGCCGUGCUUGAUAUCCACUUUGCCUUUAAAAGUAUUGAAGUCAUGCUUUACAGAGCAACUUUGAUGCAAAAGUGAAGUACUUGAGGAAAUCUUUUCAAACCCUUUGAGGAAGCAAUUGAAGAAUAGUUGGUUAUUCCUCAAACUCCUGGAGGCUGUUUUGAAGACAGGAAACCGAAUGAAUGGCGGAACCAAUCAUGGCGAUGCUAAAGCUUUUAAACUUGACACCCUUUUAAAACUUGUUGAUAUAAAGGGCACGGAUGGGAAAACAACACUACUGCACUUUGUUGUUCAGGAGAUCAUUAGAUCCGAAGGUGCAGGCACUAAUUCUACGAAUGAGAAUCCCAAAAACAUACUGCUUUCCAACAUUAAGGAGGAUGAUUUCAGGAAGCAAGUAUUACAGGUUGUGGUUGGGCUGAGCUGAGAACUCGGCUCAAGGUCUCUUUCAAUGGAGAAAGAUUCUGAAUGAAGAAUGGAAAGACAAAAAGGAAAGGGGGGAAUAGUUUGUUGUUGGUUUUGGUGGUUUCUCCCCCUUAUUUUUUUCUAUUGCUCGUUCCAUUUUGAUUCGAUUAAAAGGAUUCAAUGUUUGUGGUUGUGUUUUGGUUUUGGAUUUAAUCAAAACCCAGAUUUGAGUUUCGGCUGUUUU